UACAGAGGUCUCAAGCGUUGUUCGGAUUCAUUGGGCGUAAAGGGUGCGUAGGCGGCGAGGUAAGUCGGAUGUGAAAUCCCGGGGCUCAACCCCGGAACUGCAUUCGAUACUGCUUUGCUUGAGGUACUGGAGAGGAGACUGGAAUUUACGGUGUAGCGGUGAAAUGCGUAGAUAUCGUAAGGAAGACCAGUGGCGAAGGCGGGUAUCUGG
rnacentral:rRNA from 1 species